rnacentral:misc_RNA from 1 species
GAUGAAGAACGUAGCGAAAUGCGAUAACUAAUGUGAAUUGCAGAAUUCAGUGAAUCAUCGAGUCUUUGAACGCACAUUGCGCCCCCUGGUAUUCCGGGGGGCAUGCCUGUCCGAGCGUCAUUGCUGCCCUCAAGCACGGCUGGUGUGUUGGGCUCCGUCCCCCCGGGGACGGGUCCGAAAGGCAGCGGCGGCACCGAGUCCGGUCCUCGAGCGUAUGGGGCUUUGUCACCCGCUCUGUAGGCCCGGCCGGCGCCAGCCGACAACCAAUCAUCCUUUUUUCAGGUUGACCUCGGAUCAGGUAGGGAUACCCGCUGAACUUAAGCAUAUCAAUAAGCGGAGGA